CUACGGGCCGCUCCAGUGAGGAAUAUUGCACAAUGGGGGGAACCCUGAUGCAGCAACGCCGCGUGGAGGAUGACGCAUUUCGGUGUGUAAACUCCUUUUAUAUGUCAAGAAAAUGACGGUAGCAUAUGAAUAAGCACCGGCUAACUCCGUGCCAGCAGCCGCGGUAAUACGGAGGGUGCAAGCGUUACUCGGAAUCACUGGGCGUAAGGGACGCGUAGGCGGGUUAGAAAGUCAGGUGUGAAAUCCUACAGCUUAACUGUAGAACUGCACUUGAAACUUCUAAUCUAGAGUAUGGGAGGGGGAGAUGGAAUUAGUGGUGUAGGGGUAAAAUCCGUAGAUAUCACUAGGAAUACCUAAAGCGAAGGCGAUCUCCUGGAACAUUACUGACGCUAAGGCGUGAAAGCGUGGGGAGCAAACAGGAUUAGAUACCCGCGUAGUC
rnacentral:rRNA from 1 species